rnacentral:rRNA from 1 species
AGUAACGCGUGAGCAACCUGCCUAUGACAGUGGGAUAGCCUCGGGAAACCGGGAUUAAUACCGCAUAAAAUCGUAGAAACACAUGUUUCAACGGUCAAAGAUUUAUCGGUCAUAGAUGGGCUCGCGUCUGAUUAGCUAGUUGGUGAGAUAACAGCCCACCAAGGCGACGAUCAGUAGCCGGUCUGAGAGGAUGAACGGCCACAUUGGAACUGAGACACGGUCCAAACUCCUACGGGAGGCAGCAGCC